rnacentral:rRNA from 1 species
CGUAGGUAACCUGCCUUGUAGCGGGGGAUAACUAUUGGAUCGAUAGCUAAUACCGCAUAACAAUGGAUGACACAUGUCUUUUAUUUGAAAGGGGCAAUUGCUCCGCUACUAGAAGGACCUGCGUUGUAUUACCUAGUAGGUGAGGUAAUGGCUC